UUUGCUACCAGAUGGUCCCGCAACUGGGGAGCGUAUUGGGCUAAAGCUGGAAUGAACACACUCAUGAUUUUAGCUUGAGUGCUGUGGCAAAGGGGCACCAUGUUCCUGUGGUGCCCUCUCCUCUUCCUGUGCUGGGCCUCCCUCCUCCAUUUGUGCCUGUGCUGCCUCCUCUUCCUCAGGCACAACUGACAGCUUUGUCAACAACAACACAGUUAUUUAUCGAAUAUUCCCCAAAAGCGAUUAUAAUCAUCAAUAAUGUAUAAAAAUUAUUUCUGGAUAAUAUAUGGUUAUUUUUUUUCAAUUAGAUAAAACAGUUAAGUAUUGCAAUCAUUUAUUACUAUUACUAGUUUAUACCCUUAGUGAUUAUUUUAAAAUUAUUUUAUUUUCAUUUUUUCAUUCUAUUUUGAGACAAUUACAGUCAGCACUUAUUUGAAAAUUAGCUCUUUUUUUUAAUUCAGUACAAUAUUUAAUGUGAUUAGUAAUGAAUGUCUAAAAAAAAUACAAAUACUUCCUUUUGCUGAGAUAUGGUCAAAAGAAGCAUUGGGCAAACAAUAGUAGCCCAAGAUUUUUGCACGGUACGUCACUUGCACAAGGAUUCUGUUCUUAUUACUUGGCGUAAUACUUUGACCUCCUGGUCGUCCUCUUCCUCUCUGGGCAUCUUAUCUGGUCCCUGAUGAGCUAAAGAGAUCAAGCAGGUUGGACUGUGGAUGCAAACCUGGAGCAUUUGAAAGCCGUGUGCUUACCUUUUGCCCUCACAUGUUGCUCAUUGCCUCUAGUUUCAUCAGCACCACUGGAAGACGAUUCCCAAGCCUGGCUUUGUGCGUCCAUUUCCUCAGUGUUCUCAGAGUUUUCUGGACCGGUCAGAUGUCUCUGUUUGUCGUACUGAGAAAUGGGCCAUCGCAAGACAGUCGUUACACGAGGAUAGCUUCACAUGCAACGUGCCGCAUUCUCACCUUGGUCUCACUGACACUCACAGCGGUGAUGACAACCAUGGAAUCCUUCACAGGUGAACCUUCCAUUUCCAUGUCUGCUUCUGUGGUGGGCUGGAGGUGAGGGUCACUAGAGGGGGGGGGGGGGACUUUUUAUAUCCACUUUAACUAACUAUUUUAUUUUCUGUGAAAAUACCUAUCUGGUCCUUUCUCUGAGAAGGAACGAGGAACACCAGAAUCUGCAAAAUCAAUCAUUAAGAUGUUUAAAUACACCUGCAGUGCUUCAAAUUUGAAAAAAAAACAUACUAUUACAUCCAAAAGUUGUCAUUUUGAUAGAUUAAAGUCAUAUUCUUAAACAUUCACAUUAUAACCGUCGUUAUACUCAUUGGGCUGCACUUUAGCACAGUAAUUACCAUUGACAUAGGCUCCGCCCCCUUCUUUGGGUUUGACUGGCACGUCAUCUUGAGAGACCACAAUUGGACUCUUUGUGUCAUCUUGUGCCUGAAACCUUUGUCUAAAUGAUUUCUGAUGAUCCUGAAACUGCUUCCUGCAUUUUGUAAUCUUUUCUUUGAAGACUGCCCUUGAUUGAUCAGAAAUGAAAUGGGGAAAAUAUACAAAAUAAACUCCAAAUAUAAUGUGCUAAACCAACAA